rnacentral:rRNA from 1 species
GAACGCGAAGAACCUUACCAGGCCUUGACAUGUCCAGUUUGAUCGCCAGAGAUGGCUUUCUUCACCUCGGGUGGCUGGAACACAGGUGCUGCAUGGCUGUCGUCAGCUCGUGUCGUGAGAUGUUGGGUUAAGUCCCGCAACGAGCGCAACCUCGUCUUAGUUGCCAGCACGUAAUGGUGGGAACUUAAGGAAACUGCCUGUGAUAAGCAGGAGGAAGGUGGGGACGACGUCAAGUCAUCAUGGCCCUUACGGCCUGGGCUACACACGUGCUACAAUGGCGAUGACAAUGGGUUGCAACCUCGCGAGGGGAAGCUAAUCUCAAAAAGCCGUCUCAGUUCGGAUUGUACUCUGCAACUCGAGUGCAUGAAGUUGGAAUCGCUAGUAAUCGUGGAUCAGCGUGCCACGGUGAAUACGUUCCCGGGUCUUGUACACACC